AUUGAACGCUGGCGGCAUGCCUUACACAUGCAAGUCGAACGGCAGCGCGGGGCAACCUGGCGGCGAGUGGCGAACGGGUGAGUAAUAUAUCGGAACGUGCCCAGUCGUGGGGGAUAACGUAGCGAAAGCUACGCUAAUACCGCAUACGAUCUAUGGAUGAAAGCGGGGGAUCGCAAGACCUCGCGCGAUUGGAGCGGCCGAUAUCAGAUUAGGUAGUUGGUGAGGUAAAGGCUCACCAAGCCGACGAUCUGUAGCUGGUCUGAGAGGACGACCAGCCACACUGGGACUGAGACACGGCCCAGACUCCUACGGGAGGCAGCAGUGGGGAAUUUUGGACAAUGGGCGCAAGCCUGAUCCAGCAAUGCCGCGCGCAGGAUGAAGGCCUGG
rnacentral:rRNA from 1 species